rnacentral:rRNA from 1 species
GAUGAACGCUGGCGGCGUGCUUAACACAUGCAAGUCGAACGGAAAGGCCCAAGCUUGCUUGGGUCCUCGAGUGGCGAACGGGUGAGUAACACGUGGGUGAUCUGCCCUGCACUUCGGGAUAAGCCUGGGAAACUGGGUCUAAUACCGGAUAGGACGAUGGUUUGGAUGCCAUUGUGGAAAGUUUUUUCGGUGUGGGAUGAGCUCGCGGCCUAUCAGCUUGUUGGUGGGGUAUUGGCCUACCAAGGCGUCGACGGGUAGCCGGCCUGAGAGGGUGUACGGCCACAUUGGGACUGAGAUACGGCCCAGACUCCUACGGGAGGCAGCAGUGGGGAAUAUUGCACAAUGGGCGCAAGCCUGAUGCAGCGACGCCGCGUGGGGGAUGACGGCCUUCGGGUUGUAAACUCCUUUCGCUAGGGACGAAGCGUUUUUGUGACGGUACCUGGAGAAGAAGCACCGGCUAACUACGUG